rnacentral:miRNA from 1 species
UUAUCAGAGGUGGACUGCACGG